GACGAACGCUGGCGGCGUGCUUAACACAUGCAAGUCUUAGGAGAACGUUUCUUCGGAAACAAGUAAACUGGCGAACGGGUGAGUAACGCGUAGACAAUCUGCCCUAUAGACUGGGAUAACGCCGUGAAAAUGGUGCUAAUACCAGAUGUUAUCGUAUCUCUCUGGAGAUAUGAUCAAAGGUGGCUUCGGCUAUCACUAAAGGAUGAGUCUGCGUCUGAUUAGCUUGUUGGUGGGGUAAAGGCCCACCAAGGCGACGAUCAGUAGCUGGUCUGAGAGGAUGAUCAGCCACACUGGGACUGAGAUACGGCCCAGACUCCUACGGGAGGCAGCAGUGGGGAAUUUUGUGCAAUGGGCGAAAGCCUGACGCAGCAACGCCGCGUGAUCGAAGAAGCUCUGCGGAGUGUAAAGAUCUGUCAUAAGGGAAGAAUAGUGAGUAUUCUAACAAAAUAUUCGCGUGACGGUACCUUAUAAGAAAGCCCCGGCUAACUUCGUGCCAGCAGCCGCGGUAAUACGAGGGGGGCAAGCGUUGUCCGGAAUCAUUGGGCGUAAAGGGUUCGUAGGCGGACUGAUCAGUUGGAAUUGAAAGACCACGGCUUAACCGGGGGAACGGUUUCAAUACUGUCAGUCUUGAGUGAGGUAGAGGUAAGCGGAAUUCCUGGUGUAGCGGUGAAAUGCGUAGAUAUCAGGAGGAACAUCAAAGGCGAAGGCAGCUUACUGGGCCUAUACUGACGCUGAGGAACGAAAGCGUGGGGAGCAAACAGGAUUAGAGACCCUGGUAGUCCACGCCGUAAACGAUGAGUACUUGGUGAUGGGGGAUUCGACCCCUUCAUUGCUGGAGCUAACGCAUUAAGUACUCCGCCUGGGAACUACGACCGCAAGGUUGAAACUCAAAGGAAUUGACGGGGACCCGCACAAGCGGUGGAUCAUGUGGUUUAAUUCGAUGCAACGCGAAGAACCUUACCUAGGCUUGACAUGUUAGUGAAAACUCUGUGAAAGCAGAGCCCUCUGCGAGCUUGCUCAAAGACACUAUCACAGGUGAUGCAUGGCUGUCGUCAGCUCGUGUCGUGAGAUGUUCGGUUAAGUCCGAUAACGAGCGCAACCCCUAUUCUUAGUUGCCAGCACGUAAUGGUGGGGACUCUAAGAAAACUGCCCGGGAUAACCGGAAGGAAGGUGGGGUCGACGUCAAGUCAGUAUGUCCCUUACGCCUAGGGCUACACACGUGAUACAAUGGGAAGUACAAAGGGUUGCGAUACCGCGAGGUGGAGCCAAUCCCAAAAAACUUCCCCAAGUUCAGAUUGCAGUCUGCAACUCGACUGCAUGAAGCAGGAAUCGCUAGUAAUCGUGGAUCAGAACGCCACGGUGAAUACGUUCCCGGGUCUUGUACACACCGCCCGUCACGCCAUGGAAGCCGGUAGUGCCCAACGCCAGUGUCCCAACCUUCGGGAGGGAACUGUCUAAGGUAAGAUCGGUAACUGGGGCGAAGUCGUAACAAGGUAGCCGUACCGGAAGGUGCGGCUGGAUUACCUCCUUUCU
rnacentral:rRNA from 1 species